rnacentral:lncRNA from 1 species
AAACAGCACAGUGUUUUACAUCAGCUGUAACAUAACGUACCUCUUUACAACUGAUCUGCCUCCCUCAUAAGUAUGAAAAGUAUGUCGUAGCUGGAAAAUAACGUAACUGCUGCUUGGGCUGUAACAGUACGGACAACAACUUAAAGAAUCAUUGAACACUGUCCUCAGAGGACAACUGCAUCCUGCUCCACCAUCCCAGUUACAUAGAAAUUGUUCAGGAAAUCAGCACCAGUCGUCUUUGUGACUGGACUACCAAAAAAUAGGGACUGACCAGUUUCCCAUCCAGUCACUCAUCUUGGGACAUGCCAUGUGCUCUAUAAAG